CGAUUCACAUCUCCCACACGAGCUCCACCACAACGCCGCUGCCGCCGCCGCCUCUGAUUCGAGGAAACUCCGGUGCUCCCCUUCACCACGCCUCACCAGCUCGUCCCCCCUCUUGUUCUCCUCUGGCCCCGCCCCCAACCCCCACCGCCACGACGUCCUCCACGCCUCUGCACGGCGCGACGGUUCAUUGUUGUAGCUCAUGUGCUCGGCCCAGCAAUCCCACUUCCACACGCGAUCGGCUACCGGCUAGGCUCGAUGGCGCUGUUCCACCUUGGCUACCUCGACUCCGAUGUGACGGUUCAUGCCAAAAUUUCUUACAUAUUCAUCUUUGGGAGAAAGAUCAAGGCAUAUAGUGGGCUACUUCUGCAAAAGGAGGGAAGCAACAUAUUGCAUUUAAAGUGAAGCUUCCUCUAUGAUAUGGAGAUGCAAUCAUCCAUCUAAAGACAAGAUUGCCAAGAUAAAUCGAUGAUGCAUGGCUCAGAAGUUGAUUACAAGAUCGAGAAGGUGGCUACUACUAGAUAGUUU